UAGGGAAUCUUCCGCAAUGGACGCAAGUCUGACGGAGCAACGCCGCGUGAGUGAAGAAGGAUUUCGGUUAGUAAAACUCUGUUGUUAGAGAAGAACAGCGCAUAGAGUAACUGUUAUGCGUGUGACGGUAUCUAACCAGAAAGCCACGGCUAACUACGUGCCAGCAGCCGCGGUAAUACGUAGGUGGCAAGCGUUGUCCGGAUUUAUUGGGCGUAAAGCGAGCGCAGGCGGUCAAUUAAGUCUGAUGUGAAAGCCCCCGGCUCAACCGGGGAGGGUCAUUGGAAACUGGUUGACUUGAGUGCAGAAGAGGAGAGUGGAAUUCCAUGUGUAGCGGUGAAAUGCGUAGAUAUAUGGAGGAACACCAGUGGCGAAGGCGACUCUCUGGUCUGUAACUGACGCUGAGGCUCGAAAGCGUGGGUAGCAAACAGG
rnacentral:rRNA from 1 species